rnacentral:rRNA from 1 species
CGAACGCUGGCGGCGUGCUUAACACAUGCAAGUCGAACGAGAGGACAAGAGAAGCUUGCUUCUUUUGGAAUCGAGUGGCAAACGGGUGAGUAACACGUAAACAACCUGCCUUCAGGAUGGGGACAACAGACGGAAACGACUGCUAAUCCGAAUACGCUUGGAAGACCGCAUGAUCUUCCAAGGAAAGGGUGGCCUCUACUUGUAAGCUAUCGCCUGAAGAGGGGUUUGCGUCUGAUUAGGUAGUUGGUGAGGUAACGGCCCACCAAGCCGACGAUCAGUAGCCGGUCUGAGAGGAUGAACGGCCACACUGGAACUGAGACACGGUCCAGACUCCUACGGGAGGCAGCAGUGGGGAAUCUUCCGCAAUGGGCGACAGCCUGACGGAGCAACGCCGCGUGAGUGAAGAAGGCCUUCGGGUCGUAAAGCUCUGUUGAAGGGGACGAAUGUUGCGCUUAUCAACAACGAGUGCAAAUGACGGUACCUUUCGAGGAAGCCACGGCUAACUACGUG